CCAUCUCACAGACCUCAUCACUACACCCCAAGCACCAAGCACACCACAGGGCCCUGUCACAGAGGGAUCUCCAAGACUGUGACUCCUCUCCUUUCAAAUAUGUGAUGACCUGUGGGACAGAAGAGGACACACACUCCAUGCCACCAAGAGACACAGCCCAGAGUUUCUUACAGACUGACUCUACCUUCCAAUUAGAAAAGAAGUCUGAAGAUGUUGAUGCUUCCUGGUUUGCCUUCUCCGAGAUAAUUAGUGUUGACGGAGGAACAGAAAAAGCAGAGAAGACAGAUGGAAAGAAGACAGGGUGGGCACAGUAGCAAAAGUGCUGUAACAUUGGAGGUAGAUAUAGGACCGGGCAGAGUCCAGUUUUUCUACCAAUGCCAGUGGCUCACAGCAGGCCCCAACACCCUAAAGCAGGUAUCCCUU